rnacentral:rRNA from 1 species
UACAGAGGGGGCAAGCGUUAUUCGGAAUUAUUGGGCGUAAAGGGCGCGUAGGCGGCUUUGCAAGUGACGGGUGAAAUCCCUCGGCUUAACCGAGGAACUGCCUGUCAGACUGUGAGGCUUGAGACCGGGAGAGGUGAGUGGAAUUCCCAGUGUAGCGGUGAAAUGCGUAGAUAUUGGGAGGAACACCAGUGGCGAAGGCGGCUCACUGGACCGGAACUGACGCUGAGGAGCGAAAGCCGG